CUGGUUGAUUGGCUGACUGACUAACUGGCUGGCUGGUUGAUUGGCUGACUGACUAACUGGCUGGCUGGUUGACUGGCUGACUGACUAAGUGGCUGGCUGGAUGAUUGGCUGACUGACUGACUGGCUGGCUGGCUGGCUGACUGGCUGGCUGGUUGUCUGACUGACUGGCUGGCUGGCUGACUGGUUCAAUGACAGCAGGUCAAAUCAAAUCAAACUUUAUUUGUCACAUGAGCCAAAUACAACAACCUUACCGUGAAAUGCUUACUUACAAGCCCUUAACCCACAAUGCACUCCAAUUCGCAUACCACCACAACAGAUCCACAGACGAUGCAAUCUCAAUCGCACUCCACACUGCCCUUUCCCUCCUGGACAAAAUGAACACCUAUGUGAGAAUGCUAUUCAUUGACUACAUCUCAGCGUUUAACACCAUAGUGCCCUCCAAGCGCAUCACUAAGCUAAGGACCCUGGGACUAAACACCUUCCUCUGCAACUGGAUCCUGGACUUCCUGAUGGGCCGCCCCCAGGUGGUGAGAGUAGGUAACAACACAUCUGCCACGCUGAUCCUCAACACUGGGCCCCUCAGGGGUGCGUGCUUAGUCCCCUCCUGUACUCCCUGUUCACUCAUGACUGCAUGGCCAAGCACGACUCCAACACCAUCAUUUAGUUUGCUGACGACACAACAGUGGUAAGACUGAUCACUGACAACAAUGAGACGGCCUAUAGGGAGGAGGUCAGAGACCUGGCAGUGUGGUGCCAGGACAACAACCUCUCCCUCAAUGUGAGCAAGACAAAGGAGAUGAUCGUGGACUACUGGAAAAGGAGGGACGAACAGGCCCCCAUUAACAACGACGGGGCUGAAGUGGAGCGGGUCGAGAGUUUUCAAGUUCCUUCAGUCCACAUCACCAACAAACUAUCAUGGUCCAAACACACCAAGACAGUCGUAAAGAGGCCACGACAACAACUUUUCCACCUCAGGAAACUGAAAAUAUUUGGCAUGGGUCCCCAGAUCCUCAAAAGGUUCUGCAGCUGCACCAUCGAGAGCAUCCUGACUGGUAUGGCAACUGCUUGGCAUCUGACUGUAAGGCGCUACAGAGGGUAGUGGGUACGGCCCAGUACAUUACUGGGGCCAAGCUUCCUGACAUCCAGGACCUCUAUACCUGGCGGUGUCAGAGGAAGGCCCAAAAAAUUGUCAGACUCCAGUCACCCAAGUCAUAGACUGUUUUCUCAAGUGAUACCAAGUCUAGGACCAAAAGGCUCCUUAACAGCUUCUACCCCCAAGCCAUAUGACUGCUGAACAAUUAAUCAAAUUGCCACCUGGACUAUUUACAUUGACACCCCUUUGUUUUUACACUGCUGCUACUCGCUGUUUAUCAUCUAUGCAUAGUCACUUUACAAAUUACCUCGACUAACCUGUACCCCCGCGCAUUGACUUGGUACCGGCACCCCCUGUAUAGAGCCUCAUUACUAACCG
rnacentral:lncRNA from 1 species